GUAAAUUUGCGGAGCUCCUCCCUGUAUUCAUCUGUUAGUCUCCACCUCUAGCACAGGCCUGUUCUUUACCUUCAAACACUACAGUUUGCCAGCAGACGCUCUUCGCUUUAGGCAUUCAGCGCUCAGCCUGCAGCUCUUCAUCAAAAUGUUAUCACUGAAUUAAGCUGUUUUUAUUUGGAAUUGUUUACAUAUAUAUAACUAUCUCUUUAUUUGUUUUGCAGGUCACAAAAGGAGUGCAGAUGCAGUGUAGAGGACACUUAGACCAGAGAUGAACACCUCAUAUUGCAGCAUGUGGAAACACACCAUAACUCGAAAAACUAAAAUAUCAGGAUCCUGUUGGGGAAACCCUUUCUGCAGAUUCUGAUACCCUCCAGCACACCGUUACAGCGCAGCUGGUGCAUGACCAGAGGAUUCUCCAUCGCCCCAGGAGUCUUAGUCUCAUUGGGGAUGAUGCAGCGCACAAAGUGAGGAUUGGAGAGAUGAGGUCUGGGGUGUUUUUAUGGCAGAUCACAGAGCCUCAUCUGAAUGCUCAUCUCAACAACCUGCAACUUACAUGCAAAACACCAAUGGACAAGAGAUACAACAGAUCAUUCAACAACACAACUGCGAGGGGUUUAAGAAAGAGUGUGUGUACCUGAUGACGGUGGGCAUGACUUCAGCCGUGAACAGAAUAGAGAGGGAAGCGGCCGCUUGAGACGAGAACAGACCCAUUAUGGAGAACACCUUCAUGGCUCCAUCACUCAGUCCAUGAGUCCGAGCAGGAUGAGCGAGGCCAGUCCAGUGAGGGUCAUGGCCAGCAGCAGGAUCCCCCUCCGGCCGCAGCGGUCCACCGUAGCCCACAGCAGCAGCCAGGCUCCUCCUCCAGCACACACCGAUAGCAGCAGAGGAACAGAGAGAGCGGAGCGGCUCCAGUCCCAAUCAGACCUCUCCAGGAGCCACAGCCGAGGGCCACGGCCAGCAGCAGGAGCUCACCAGAGAACAUGGUCAAACCAGAUAUCAUGGUGACCAGCAGACGCAGAGAAUGGUCACACAGCUCCAGACCUGCACACACACACACACACACACACACACACACACACACACCAAGCUCAGAUAUACACUUUCAUAUACUACUUGAGGCUCAUCAUAUCUGCAGAUCAUGAUCAACAGAUGCCAGAGUCGAUGUUUACAGUAAAAACAACACAAUCUUCAUCACAAACACACACACACACAUAUACAUAUAUAUAUAUAUAUACAGUUGAAGUCAGAAUUAUUAGCCCCCCUUUUUUCUGCCAUUUUCUGUUUAACAGAGAGCAGAUUUCUUCAACACAUUUCUAAUCAUAAUAGUUUUAAUAACUCAUCUCUAAUAACUGAUUUAUUUUAUCUUUGUCAUGAUGACAGUAAAUAAUAUUAGACUAGAUAUUCUUCAAGACACUUCUAUACAGCUUAAAGUGACAUUUAAAGGCUUAACUAGGGUAAUUAGGUUAGCUAGGCAGGUUAGGGUAAUUAGGCAAGUUAUUGUAUAAUGAUGGUUUGUUCUGUAGACUAGAGAAAAUAAAAUAUAGCUUAAAGGGGCUAAUAAUAUUGACCUUAAAAUGGCUCUUAAAAAAUUAAAAACUGCUUUUAUUCUAGUCGAAAUAAAACAAAUAAGACUUUCUCCAGAAGAAAAAAUAUUAUCAGACAUACUGUGAAAAUUUCCUUGCUCUGUUAAACAUCAUUUGGGAAAUAUUUUAAAAAGGCAAAAACAUUCAAAGGGGGGGCUAAUAAUUCUGACUUCAACUGUACACACACACACACACACACACACACACACACACACUGUAUGAUGAUCUCCAGAUGCUUUUUCUCAUUUUCUAGAACAUAUAAAUGUUACUGAUUUCACCAUGUUUGUCUAGUCGAUCUAUUACAUUAAGCAGAUUUUUAAAAUGAAAUAAUCUGAAUAUAGAUCAAAAUAUAGAUAGGAAUAAUUGAAUAUACACUCUCAGAAAACGUUGGACCAAAGAAGGUACAAACCCUUGUCACUGGGGCAGGACAUUUUUAUGGCACAGAAUUGUAUCUUAAGACAAAGAAACACAUUUGUACCAUUGCAGUUUGUACCUUUAAGGACAUGAUUUGUCCCACAAAUAACCAAAAUGUACCUUCGGAUUUUAAAACCUGCAGAUCCAAUAUUGUAUCCUUCAUCAAAGGUACAAACAUGAUAUAUGAAAGAAUAACAUCAAUCACAAGAUCUCUGUUCUGCUAAACAUUUCACAAAAAUGUUACAGAAACACAUUCUUAGAAAAAGAUCCAAAGAAAAUCGGCACACUGCCACUUUAGCUCUCAAAAACAUUUUUAAUGUCACAACGUUUCGACCAGCAUGGUCUUCAUCAGGUGAUCUGAAAUGUUGCGACAUUAAAAUUAUUUUGAGAGCUAAAGCGGCAGUGUGCCGAUUUUCUUUGGAUCUUUUUCUACCAAUGUUUGUUUUUGAUCGAGCACCUGUCUUUGAGAUUUUCUGAUGUGCGCACACUUCUGUUUUUUACAGAAACACAUUCUCCCAUCUACAAUAUGAAACAUUUCACACAAUACCUUUGAAAUCACCUAAAAGUUCAUUUGAUUUACUUAAAUUUAAAAUAGAAACAGAAUGAUGCAGAAUUAUUGUAAUGAGAUUUGCACAAUGUCUGAUUAGUUUUACAAUAGUAAAAUGUCUGCAUCAACACUUUGCAUAUGCAGGACUUUUUCCAACUCAUGUGUGCAGUGGAAAACAAACGCCAAAAGGUGCAGAUAUUCAUUCAUUCAUUCAUUCAUUUUCUUUUCAGCUUAGUCCCUUUAUUAAUCCGGGGUUGCCACAGUGGAAUGAAUCACCAACUUAUGUUUUAUGCAGCGGAUGCCCUUUCAGCCGCAACCCAUCUCUGGGAAACACCCACACACACUCAUUCACACUCAUACACUACGGACAAUUUAGCCUUCUCAAUUCACCUGUACCGCAUGUCUUUGGACUGUGGGGGAAACCGGAGCACCCAGAGGAAACCCACGCAAAGGCAGGGAGAACAUGCAAACUCCACACAGAAACGCCAACUGACCCAGCCGAGGCUCGAACCAGUGACCUUCUUGCUGUGAGGCGACAGCACUACAUACUGCGCCACUGCCUCGCCCCAAUGUGCAGAUAUUAAUAAUGGAAAUGUAUUUAUCAGAACAUGUUUACCAAAUGAUUAUUGAAAAUACCUGAAAUGUUUCGUUUACAAUACUGUACCUAUAGUGUUGUUUUACCUGUUGUUUUGUUUUAUAGAACUUAAUGUUUUGAUGAUUUAUUAUAGAAAUUAUUCAUUAAAUCACUUUGCCUUUCCAGUCAUAUUUAUUUUCAUAGAUAUUGUAAUAAAGGAGCUGUCCAACA